UAUUUCGAUCUUCUUUUCCUAUUGUUUCUCCAUUUUUUUUCAUCGAUAUAGAGCGAUGUCCGUUUUUCUACCCGUCUUUUACCGUGGAAGGUAUUGGUAAAUUUCCAUCUCUUUAAAUCGUCUUUUCCUUCUCCCCUCUUUUACCUAUAGAGAAUGAUGGAAUGCAAAGUUGAUAAAAGAGAGAAAAUUUAUGGAUAGUUUCUAUUCGGAAAACCUUUUGGUACUUUCACAUAAUGUUUUGCCGUUGGUUUAGCCGAGAUUAAUAGUGAAUUCAAGUUGUUCGUGACUUAAUAAGGUAACAAAAUCAUACUUUUUUUUAUUCAUACUUCCAUUUUUUCCAAGGGUUGUCAUUUGGUGUACAUUGGUUCCGUUUAAGGAGUACGAUAUUUUUGUAGGUUGCAAAAUUUACAUUGUGUAAGGAUUGGGAAGGAAUAUACAGUUAGGGGAAAUUAGUCCCUUUUCCCUAAGAUAUGUUUAUUUUGUCCAGCAGGCAUUUGCCUAUUUCUGCGCAAAAAUAUGCUUAUUCGUAAUGAUCAGCGAGUCGUGUGCAUUGUAUAAAACGAAACGAAAGACAACACCUUGAUUGGAAACAAACAAGUUACAAGGUCAUUUAGUAUUCCAAUCACUAAGGUACUGUUGAUGGGUAAAACACAAGUGAGCAUCUACUUUUUCAUAAUCCAAAUUGUGCUCCAAUUACUACUAUGUGUGAAUAUGAAGUGUGAGUUGAGAUGUACAAAAUAAUCUAUUACUGGUUACUAAAAGUGUACGGACAGGUGGGAUUGGAUGACUCAAUGAAAUGAUUUUUAACAUGUGUGGUUGUACAAUUUCUCACUCCAAUUGAUUACUAGAAAGUAAAGUUGUAAAUCUAAAUUUUGUCCCUGUGACAUUUAGUUUGAGAAUACUAAAUUAUUAGGUUCUAA